rnacentral:lncRNA from 1 species
CUUAAAAUCAUUUAUUUACUAAACUAAGUAAUUCACAGAAAGUAUACAAACAGUAAUUAUCAUCACAAAGAAUUGGUAGAGUAAUGUGCCCUAGUGGCUAACAGGCAUGGCUGGUGUCUUGUUCAACAAUGGGUCAUAAAAGUUCAGCUGAGGAGAUCCACAGAGUUCAUUAAUAUUAACAAUUGACAUGCUAAUCCUUUGCACAUGAACGCUCACUCAUUUGGGAACAAUUGCAAUCAAUAUAUAUUUACGCUCAGUGUGUCGUCGGGAUCCUUGUUGGAGCGUCGUUCUGUUGGAGAGUUUUGUCCGCGUUCUCUCUCUCUCUCUCUCUCUCUCUCUCGGUUAGAAUGGAUCUUUCAAAGCGACAUUCAUUAAUGUCGUUAUAGAAUGGUUGUUUCGUCGGUCUUCGCGUUCAAUGAUAUAAUUUCUAGCAGCAGACUAUUAAUUAAUAUCAAAGACUUGUUCUUAUUCUGUCGAUAUCAAUAGUCUAAAAGUUAACCACGUGGUAUGGUUCACUUUCAGUAGAUGGAUUGGAUGGUCAAACCUAUUGGCCAACUCGCAAUGGAGUGGAGGCCUGGUCUGAAGAAAGUAGAUCAGGGUAUAGUUUUAUAGUGAACAUAGAACAGGCUUGUCACAUGGCGCCUGGUCCUGUCUGUGUCCCUGGGGGCGUGCCGAUGACUGAGUUAAGCUUGGUACAGAAAUACAAUUCUAUCACAUUAACAUCAGUACAUAGCAUCUCAAUGUAUUACAAAUAGCUUUAUCCUUAUUAAUACAUUUUAUACAACCAUGUGGAUGCAAGUCUCAUCGCUGAGGCUAUUAUAUAAACAGUUUUAUGGUAAUAUGGCUAUAUUGUCUCUUCUGAGUAUCACAAAAUUGUACCAAGCGGACCAGUUCGUAGCUGGAUUCUUCACCAGUCUUCCAUACCUUCUCCAGAACACAAAUGUCGCUUGGCUCCCCAAUUCUGUGAGUUGGAAGAAUUUCCGGUGUCUCUCUAUGGGCCAUGUGGCAAGAGAUUCUCCUCUUAGAGUUUUACAACCCUUUCACACAGGGCCUGGGUGGGGGGAGGUAGGUUGGGGGAUGGUGCAAGGGGGGGAGGGGGUCAACUGUCCUCCCUGUACUCAAAGAGGCCAACGUCAUGACAACACCUAGGGAAAGAACCAAAGGGAGUGACAGAUAUAGGGAAGAUAAUCAGGAAGGUGAUGGAGUCCAGGUGAGUCUGAUGAGGUGCUGGUGCGCGUAAUGAUGGUGACAGGUGUGUGUAAUAAUAACUUCUUUGGGCUAGGGGGCAGUAUUUUCACAUUUUACAUUUUACAUUUUAGUCAUUUAGCAGACGCUCUUAUCCAGAGCGACUUACAAAUUGGUGCAUUCACCUAUAAUAUCCAGUGGAACAACCACUUUACAAUAGUACAUCUAUAUCUUUUAAGGGGGGGGGUUAGAAGGAUUACUUUAUCCUAUCCCAGGUAUUCCUUGAAGAGGUGGGGUUUCAGGUGUCUCCGGAAGGUGGUGAUUGACUCCGCUGUCCUGGCGUCGUGAGGGAGCUUGUUCCACCAUUGGGGUGCCAGAGCAGCGAACAGUUUUGAC